CCGCACAGACAGUUCUUCACUUCUUUUUUAUCGAUCCAUUUCAUCCUUCUUUAAUUAUAAAUCACAUUUGCCAAUCGAAGACGUCUUGCAUCUCGCUUCUUUCCAUUCAUCCGCUAUACUUUAGAUUGGUUCAAUUGCAAUGUUCAAAAAUCAAGUAUUAUACAGUGAAUGGUUCAAUGGGAUAAGAGCCUAACAAUGUUAAUGUCAUAAGGCAAGAUCAAUGAUGCAAGAGUCUAACAAACCUAGUGCGGUGGAGAAGUUUGUGUUAGUAGACAUACAACCUCAAAAUGAUACUGCGGACAAGGAUCAAUUAGAUGAGGAAAAAAGAGGAAGAAAGCCAAGUACUAAAUUUGUUGAGACCAGGAACUUAUCGUUGAGGGCAGAGAUUGUGGACUUUGCACCAAACAAAGAAUUUAUCAAAGAAAUACAAGAAUUAGCAAAUGCAAAAGAUACUCCUCAACAUGCAUUAGCUAUUAUCCCCAUAAUAGAGGAUGCUGAUGUUGCACUGAUGUUGAACCAAAUAAAGUACAAUCAAUCAAAUAUGGAAAUUAUGCACGCGAAUUUUCAAUGAAUCAAAGACUACAACAUUGGAACAUGCAACAAAGGGAACGACAUAACGGGAUGCGAGAUGUUUAUUUUCAUCACUUAACAUUGCAAUAGAAAUUUCGAUCAAAGCAAGAAGUAAUCCAGUUUGUUCUUUGGGAAACUUAUCCUCCCAAACAUGAAAAUAAGACAAGAAAGACAGUUGAAGCUGGAAUAGAUAACCAGAUUUAACAUGCACUCCUUAAAACAACAGGAGAGAAAGAUCUUCUCACCCACACAAGAUUGAAGCAGAGAAUAAGUUGAUGGAUGAUCAAAUGGUCAAGGAAUCCUCAAAAUUAGGAGAAAUGUAAAUGGAAUAGAUCUUAGUUGUAACGAAGAUGCUCGAUGAGACUAAUGAGAAUCAUCAGUUUUUUUGUUUUAAUUCGUUCUUUGAUGUUUUCUUGAAAAAGGUUGCCAUAAACAUUGAAUAUCUUAUAUUCUCCCUUCUAAUUUUGAUUCCGCUACAUUGCAUCUGA